rnacentral:antisense_RNA from 1 species
AGUCCCAGGCUCGCCCCGGCCCGGCCGCCGGCCCGCGCGCACCUGCAGCCGCUAACAGUCCCCCUCUCCGCCCUGGGGGAGCCGGGGAGGAUGUGCAGCCCCACUCCUCCUGCUCGGCGGAGCCUCGCGCGCGCAGAGCCUAGCGCGAUUCGCGCCCUCAUUACCACUACAAAGCGCGGGCCAGACCAAUCCCCUUUCUAAUGCACCAUUUUCGAAUGAGAACAUCAAGAGGCCAGAAACUUCCAAGUCAGCUUGCAGACGCAGACGCCUCCUGGGGUCCUGGCUUUAAGAACCAGAUGCCAACAUUCCCGGACAGUUUAUGGCAUCCGGAUCCCUCAAGGGUGCUCAUCUGCAGUUGAGAGUCUAAUAAAUGGCAUUAACAAAGCGUUUCAACGACUACCACGGCUUAACAGUGGCUCCUCCCCUGUCCUGCCA